GAUGAACGCUAGCGGCAGGCUUAACACAUGCAAGUCGAGGGGCAGCGGGAUGUAGCAAUACAUUGCCGGCGACCGGCGCAAGGGUGCGUAACGCGUGAGUAACAUGCCCGUAUCAGGAGGAUAACCCGGAGAAAUCCGGACUAAUACUGCAUAAUAUUGUUUAGAGGCAUCUUAGAACAAUUAAAGUUUCGACGGAUACGGAUUGGCUCGCGUGACAUUAGCUAGAUGGUAAGGUAACGGCUUACCAUGGCGACGAUGUCUAGGGGUUCUGAGAGGAAGGUCCCCCACACUGGAACUGAGACACGGUCCAG
rnacentral:rRNA from 1 species